rnacentral:ncRNA from 1 species
GCAGAGUAGAGAUAUGUGCGUUAAGUGCCAGCCGGACGGGGAGUUGCCGGCAGGACGAAAAGCAUGGAGCUUGCGGUACAUAUCUCGCAUCCCGCUGC